CCUACGGGGGCAGCAGUGGGGAAUAUUGGACAAUGGGCGAAAGCCUGAUCCAGCCAUGCCGCGUGUGUGAAGAAGGCCUUCGGGUUGUAAAGCACUUUCAGUGGGGAAGAAAGCCUUGGGGCUAAUACCCUCGAGGAAGGACAUCACCCACAGAAGAAGCACCGGCUAACUCCGUGCCAGCAGCCGCGGUAAUACGGAGGGUGCGAGCGUUAAUCGGAAUUACUGGGCGUAAAGCGCGCGUAGGCGGUCUGAUAAGCCGGUUGUGAAAGCCCCGGGCUCAACCUGGGAACGGCAUCCGGAACUGUCAGGCUAGAGGGCAGGAGAGGAAGGUAGAAUUCCCGGUGUAGCGGUGAAAUGCGUAGAGAUCGGGAGGAAUACCAGUGGCGAAGGCGGCCUUCUGGACUGACACUGACGCUGAGGUGCGAAAGCGUGGGUAGCAAACAGGAUUAGAUACCCGGGUAGUC
rnacentral:rRNA from 1 species